rnacentral:rRNA from 1 species
UACGUAGGGGGCUAGCGUUGUCCGGAUUUAUUGGGCGUAAAGAGCGUGUAGGCGGCCAGGCAGGUCUGCUGUGAAAACUCGAGGCUCAACCUCGAGACGUCGGCGGAAACCAUCUGGCUAGAGUCCGGAAGAGGAGAGUGGAAUUCCUGGUGUAGCGGUGAAAUGCGCAGAUAUCAGGAAGAACACCCGUGGCGAAGGCGGCUCUCUGGGACGGUACUGACGCUGAGGCGCGAAAGCGUGGGGAGCGAACAGG